rnacentral:tRNA from 1 species
GGGCUUAUAAUAUCAAUAUGGUAGAUAGCUUCCCUUGCACGGAAGAAGCUGCAGGUUCGAGUCCUGUUAGGUCCA